ensembl:lncRNA
AUGGGGCGGGGGGUGGUUCUUUCAGAGGCUGGGAGUGCCUGCUCACUGCCUCUUCCUGGUGCACUGCUUGGAGUUAGAACUUCUGAGGAAAAGAGCCUGGUGGUCUCUCUUCCCCCUUGUGGAAUAUCCUUGAAGCAGCCUUUCACUUGCAUGUUGCCCCAGGUGCCCUUGGCUGUAGAAGUUUCUUCCUCCUUUCUCAGAAGAGAAAGAUCUUUCAUCUGGAACAGUGAGGGUGGCCUUUGGCAGCACAGAGAGGGGAGAAUGGACAACACAGUACAUCACAAUGGGACACGGGCGACCUGCCUCCACUCCCUCUGCUCGGAACUUCCGCAGAAGCAGCAGGACAAUGAAGGGAGAGGAAAGGUAAUUACCUAUGUAUGAGUGAUGACUGCUGAAAACCAUCCUCCCCACAGUAGUUAGAGCCUGGGUUUUACAGCCUCUCCAUUAGCACAGCAGGACCUAAUGCUGAUAGCUCGAGGGGGGAAAGCUACAUCUUUCACUUUGGUGCUCAGGCUUCCACUGCAUUGCUCAUAGGCCUGCUGUGUUUCUUAAAGGUCUCUCAGGGCAGUCAUCCAUCAGGGUGGCAUGGAUCAUGCCCACUCAUAACUUAGGCCUGUUACCCCAAGGAACAUUGCAUUGCUUCUCCGAAGUCACAUAAAAAAACCUUUAUCUCUUUGACCGGAUGCAGCUCACCUACUUAGUGAUUCCACACACAGCAACACUUGUGUAAAGGUAGCCUGUUCUUUCCUAGGGUGGUGAGCUCAUGACUGCCAAGCCACAAGCUAGGAAAAAAGAGGCUUCACAAGUCACUCUGUAUGGUGAUCAGAAAAUAACAUAAUAAUGUGACCCAUUAGUAUUCACAGAUUGAAGACUGUACCUGUUGUUUGUGUCUGAUUAUCAAAGCGGUGGAGAGGUCUUCCUGUAAAAAAAGGUGGAAGUGGUCUCCAAAAUCAUUUUCAGGUGUAAAAUCUCAGUACAUUACAUCCUUGUCUAGUUAAUAUCAACCGUACAUUCUACAGUGUAUUCCCCCAGCACUCUGGAUGCAUUUAUUAUAAUCUUGUUUGAGAAAGAGGGCGGUGAUUGACGACAAUUCCCUUUACAAAUCCCACGUGAUGUAUAAUUUGGUUUUCUAAUUGCGCACGUUUGCACAAACUGCUUCCUCUUGCUGUUAGAUUACCAUGAGUUGAAAGGCUUGUCGGUGUGGAACUGUUUCCUCAAUGAGGUCUUGGGUCUGCCGCGUGCCUCUAGUGAUGACAGAACUUGAACAUCCUUAGCAUUACGGGGUUCUCGCAUGUACCACGACUGCUACAGUAGCUGUACUAAUAGUGGAAGCCAGGGGGAGGUCAGUAGAAGCUUCCUGGAGAAAAGACUUGAGUUGGGU